GAGGAAAUGAAACCCAAAUUCAUUCUCAAGGGCGUUGAAAGCUGCAGCUCGCGUAGCAACUCUCCCCAAACAAUGACGAGGGAGCUGGAGGGGAGCCAGGGCUCGGCAGGACCGGCAGAAGCGGCUACCGAGACCCUUCCUGUUCGUUUUAUAUAGAAAGGCUGGGGGGGAAACUAAACCAAACCACCCUUCCCACAGCCUUCGGGAAAGGCGCUCCGAGCCCUGGUCUGUCCAAGUGGCAGAGAGGGCCAAGGAUGGCCCCCCAGCUCUGAAGCCUGUGAUGCCACGCAUGCAGACAAGCAACUUAGUGCAUCUGUGAGAUGAAGACUGAAGAAUCCAGAAUUCCUGGUGCUCAGGCACUGAUCUUCCCUUUCCUGUUAUUUUAUUUAAGGGAUUUUUUGUUGCUUGGUUUUAAAGCAUCUACCUGCCUUGCCCUCAGUCAAUGCUUACACUCACCUGAGCAGCUGCUUUUCCUUAGAUACUCACAAAAUUAUCUCUGUUGCUCCAGUUCUCUGACCCUUUAUCUCUAUAACUAGAGCAGCCAGAGGCAAUGAGAAUUGUGUAACCAUCUCCCCACUUCCCAAGUGCUUGGGACAGGUCUGGUAACUUUGAUAGUAUGCCUCAUGGGACACACAGAAUAAAUCUAUUAGAUUAGGGCACUUAUAAAUAAACUGGCUACUUGCUACAGGAAAAAAUGAAAAGGUCUUUAUUUUAGUUACUGGACGAGAGAGGCAAGGCACACAAAUAUUUUGGCUAAUAUUAAACUAUUGGUAAACUAUGAAAAGUAAAUGUCUUUAUUUUAAAAGUUAUGUCAAGCCAUGUAAUGAAAGUUAAACUACUGCUAGAUUGAAAGCGAACAAUUUAAAACCAGAAUGUCAUCUAUAAUCUACUGGUAUACAGAAUUACCCUGCACAGAUGGGGCUCAAAGAGUAGUCGUAUGGCCAGGUGAUAAAGAACUGAAAGUAAUGUUUUUUAUAGCAGAACAGCAUCUGUGAUAACCCACAGCCAUCCUCAGACACCGUGGAAGUUGGCGGCAGAUUCACCGCUAAGAUAUAAAACACAUGACGAGCACGGAGUGACAUCAAAAGGAGCGCAGUGGAGUGGUGUUCAGAUGUCUCCCCUCAAGCCCACACAAAAGCUGCUCUGAGGGCUGCUGUAGCUUAGAACUCUCAAUGAUUCCCUUUUGAUAAGCCUGUUGUUAUCAAAUCCAAGGAGUCUUAUGAGCAGCACCUCCUGACUUUGUUCCUUUGCUAACUGAAGAGCAUGAAGGCUUCUUCUGUUGCCUGAAGGACGUGUGAAGGUUCAGGUUUUAGACCUCAAAUCCUGUUUUUACUUCAGAAGUUGAUUGCACAAGCGGACAGUGAAUGAGUGUCUCCGUUUCCCUUGCGGUCAGAGAAGAUCCUAUUCAUACUGAGUUUACAAGCAAACACUUCCUUUGGUAAGCUUCCCAUGCAAUUCAAUUCAUGUGCGUGCUUUCAGGCUCUGUCCUUGGGUCUGGACUGACAUCAGAACAAGCAUGAGAGGCAGGCUCUCUUCUCAGCCCACCACAGCCUUUUCUGCAGUGCUUUGAAAUGAUGAAACACACUGUGUUUUCUGCACACUGCUGCAGUCCUGUCAAGUCCCUGGGAUUAUUCAUGCAUCAAGAGGCUAAGCACAUACAUGGGUAUCUACUGGAUGAUGUACACCCGUUCCAGAAUUUUACUUGCUUAACAAUCAAUCUAAUGUUUUUGCUCUUUAUAGUUACUGGCUGGGAGCCUAGAAUCUGCUGGCACCUACACGCAGGAUUCUCCUCUCAGCAUUCUGUGAUCACAUCAGGUGUUUGAAAUAUUAUGUAUUAACAAAAAGUACUUUAUGACCAGCAAAUAAAUUAUUAUUUAUGGAAGACUUGAAAUUUGCAGUCAGUACUAGUCUGUACCUGCAGUGAGGAACCAUCAGCUUAAGGCUUUGGCUGUAGUAACAGAAAGGAAGACCUGUCCUUGAGAUAUUGUAACAUUUUCCACUCCAGGAAGCCCUUUUCUAAGUGCAUCUUCUUCACGGUAUAACAGAGCACUAUCCAUUAGGCAAAUGUUUAGUUAAUGGACACAGCAGGAUCUAUACCUGAAGAGUUUUAGGGAAGGUGAAGAUUAAGAUUCACUUGAUAUGGCAGUGAAACUUAAUAAAGUUGCACAGUAAAUUCUAAGCUAGCUCUGGCCACAAUACUUGAGAAAAAUGUCAUGAAGUACUUGUGACCACAGGUAGGUAAGACCUUUGUCAUCAGCCACUCAUGAGGAAACAUGAGUAUCCAAGAGGACAUUGUCUAAAAUAAGGCAGUGUGUUGGCCUUGGCUGUUGAGUCAUCAGUAUCACUUCCUGCAGCCCCUGCUUUUGCUCUGGGUAUUUCUCAAGGGAGCACUGACUUAGUCUUUUUGAUUCUUCUAGAAUGAAUAAGAUCACAGCUCCAGAGCAGUAAUGAUGAAUAUGUCCUUGAUUCAGAGGAAUGUACACUCCUUUUAGCACAAGUGUGCUAAAUCUUCCAUGAGAUGCACCUGAUUAGUUUUUAUCUUUAUUCGUCAUGGUUUCACUGAUUUGAAAACUUCAGACUUUCUAGUUGUAAAAUGGAGAAUUGACAGGAAGCAUCUGUUCAAGUGAGAGAGUGAGCUGUGUUAAUGGCUUGUGCCUCAGAGUACCACUGAAAGCUGUUGUAUGUGGAUCUCUCUUGCCUUUUCUUUAAUUCAGUAUUUGCCUUGACAUUUCUUUAAUCCCACAAAAUACUAUGUGGAACUUCUCCAGCAGAGACAGAUCCUUCUCAGCUACACUGAAGUUGGCUGCAUUUGUAAAGCACACCUUACGGAAAAAGAAAAAAAAAAACACCUGACCUCUGAAUUUCUUUUUAAAAAUAUUAUUGCAAAAUUUCUGACGUCAGACAAUGAGACACAAAUUACCCGGUGAACUGUUAACAUAUGCCUGUUUACAUAUGAUAUCUUAUAGCCAAAGCAGACUAAGAUUUGAAGGUUUAACUGCUGUUGAGUUUCCACUUCUGUGAAUCAUACAGAUCAUACAGCUUAUUCAUCACAGGCACUUAUUUUUAUUCUUUAACUCUUUCAAGCUUCUUCUUCCCAGAGCAGAGUUUAGGGGGAAUGUGGGACACAUGGGAACAGAGAGAUCACAACUGCACAACAACAACAAACCCUCAACUUUGCAAAUGAAAGAGCAAAGAGCUGCCAUUAACUGCAGCCACCCCAGUGAAUCAGUAGUGGUUUUAUCUUGUACCAGGUGAGCUGACAGGCUCACAAGCCUUCCCCGGCUGCCAAGGCGAGUCUGUCCUUCCACCUAGUUAAGUGCCAGCUGCAAUGGAUGCUGAUGGCCAACCCUGGAAUCUUUCAAUUUAAGGUGGAAAAUUAUUUAUAAGAACCAACAAGAGAGAACCAGGCAUGACAAAAUCAACAGGAUGGCUCAAGUUCCAGGUUCAAAGAAAAAAAAAUACCAUUCAUCAUACUAGGAUUCCUUGGAUGCUAUGUUAUAGUUUAAAUUCAGAAAUGCCAAACGUUUUGGUGAGAACUUCAUUGAUUUCAGUAAACGCAGGCAAUUUAUUCUAGCACUUGAAUCUUUGUGGUGCAUCACUGAUUCUAAUGGGAUUCAAGUACUCUCACCAGCAACCCUGACACAAGUGAAUGAGUACCUGUCUUUUUCUGGAUAACAUGGCCAUAUUUUAAAAGAGGCAUCUCUGCUGACAAAAGAAAGAAACCUACUUCUAUUUAAAUACAUAUGCCUAUUCAUCUCAGAUGUGAUUGUUAAUAAAGCUAGGCAGGUGAGUGCUGCCAAAAAUCAGUCCAUUUCUUUCAGGUGAAACCAAGAAGGAUUUUGGAACUUAGGCUGCACUUCACUUGCUGUUCAGGUUCUCUGAUUCACUGACACUGUCUGGCUCAGGCUAGCAAAGGAGAAAAGAAAGAUGAUGUAUUUUGAAGCAGGAAUAUGAACAUCCAAAAAUACCUUUCCUCCUGGGGUGGCCAUAAGUGACUAUGUUCUUUUCAUUUAAAGUGUUGCUUCAGAUUUGUUUGGUUUUUCCUCCCAGCUGCAUCAUCCUAAGCAGACAGUUCACCUCAUUAGCUGUGGAUUAGCUAACAGAGGCUGAGUGCAGCACUGUGAUGGGUCAAGCCUCUUUUUCACGUAGGACAACAAGGUGUAACCAAGACAGCAAUCUUCCUCCCUGCAUUACUCACUGGAACACGAGGGCAACGACCCAUAUCAGGAACUGCAGCAAUCCAAGGCUAUACUGGUACAAAUGCCACAGGUAGCAAACCAAACCUGCUGCCACCGGUUUGUUGGUAGGAAUCUGGCUAUAAUUUACCAUUUAUAAUGUUAUGUGUUAUUGGAAGGCACACUCAAGCAACCCAGACACCUACACAAACUCCAUUUGAGGUGCAACACUUUUGGCCAUGGAAAAUGUAUGUACAUCUUUGCAUCUGGAAACUUGGGAGGCUGGUUAUCACUAGGGAUUGAAUUAGAUCCAAGAGGACAAUGUUAAUGCACCUCUGCCAGAAACUGCAGAGCCUGUUUAACCAAUGCAAGUUUCUGUUUCUGACUGUUCUGCUUAGAAAUGGUUCAAGAAUAAAUUUAACCACAAACUUAAAGAUGAAACAAAAAGGAGAUUCCCUCCCCCUCCCUGUUUUGUGUUUGUUUUUUUUAAUGCUAUUGUUAAUAUCCUCCCUUGUGGUAUGUAACUGAAAAUCAGUGACCCACCUUAAAAACUGUAGGUUUGAGCCCUGAGGUAUCUUAAAAGGGACCUGAUUUUACACAUAAAAAUACAAACAAGUAGAUACUGCUCAACCACCCCCAGUCCCUUUCAGCUGUUUCAGCUGGGCUUCCGUGGCAGAAGCACCCACGCUCACUGCUGAGCUGGGAAAAGAUGGGCCUCGGGGGUUAGACCACAUAAUGAAAAUUAGCCAGCCAAUUCCCAUGAAGUGUUUUGAACACAAAAGCCCAGUGCAACUAAUAAUGGUUCAGUUCUCUUUUUCAGCUAUGAAAUCAGCUUGCAGAUUAAUAUUGUUCAAUUACAAAAUAACAAUUUUCAGCUUGAAGUGGUUUGUGCUCUUAAGUGCAAUUGGGGUUAAUAAUGGUCUAUGAAAGGAGAGCUGUUAGCAAACAGUAACCCAGCACAUGGGUACCUUAGCUACAUUUUACAUGAAAUGUCAGAUUGUAAAUUCAGAAAAAUUACAUAGGAAAAUACCAUCUAGACCACUAAGGAUCCCAAAGCUCUAAGAAACCUGUAUUUUCUGCUUACAUAUGCCAAGAGAUAAUUGCCACCUGACUGCCAAGGCAGCUCCUUUUACCUGUGGCUAUUUCUAACUCAUGUAUAUUUAUGCCUUAUCUGCCUGAUGUGUUCAGGUCAAUUUAGGCAAUAAAUAGUGUCACAAAGUUUAAGUUCUUUUAUGGAUCUGUGCCCAAAAGCAUAGAUAUCUGAAGCUUAUAAAAUGAGAUUAACUGCUUUUCAAUCCAAGGCAUAUGGUUACAAUAUAUUUGUACUAUCUAAAAUUUAGUUAUUGGAAUACCUCUGUAAAUAAUUGUAGUCUUCCAGCCUACAAUAUUAAAGUAAAGCCCUCUGGGACCCCCACAUGCAAAAAGCCCAAAUAAAAUGAUUUUCAGUUUCAAAAGAAAAGCAUAAAUCAGGGCACAGAGCUCAAAAAUUAUAAAAACAAGGCCAAGAUCCUUAAAGCUGAAUGGUUGUUCUCUGUGGCCACACAGAGGUAUAAGUGUGCAAAACUUUCUGAAAAUUCAUCUCCGGGGUUUUUGUUAAAACAUGUGCAUGGUCCCAAGCACUGAAAAUCCUUGGUCACA